rnacentral:rRNA from 1 species
GCAGUCGAGGGGCAGCAUGGUCUUAGCUUGCUAAGGCCGAUGGCGACCGGCGCACGGGUGAGUAACACGUAUCCAACCUGCCGUCUACUCUUGGACAGCCUUCUGAAAGGAAGAUUAAUACAAGAUGGCAUCAUGAGUUCACAUGUUCACAUGAUUAAAGGUAUUCCGGUAGACGAUGGGGAUGCGUUCCAUUAGAUAGUAGGCGGGGUAACGGCCCACCUAGUCUUCGAUGGAUAGGGGUUCUGAGAGGAAGGUCCCCCACAUUGGAACUGAGACACGGUCCAAACUCCUACGGGAGGCAGCAGUGAGGAAUAUUGGUCAAUGGGCGCAGGCCUGAACCAGCCAAGUAGCGUGAAGGAUGACUGCCCUAUGGGUUGUAAACCUCUUUUAUAAAGGAAUAAAGUCGGGUAUGUAUACCCGUUUGCAUGUACUUUAUGAAUAAGGAUCGGCUAACUCCGUGCCAGCAGCCGCGGUAAUACGGAGGAUCCGAGCGUUAUCCGGAUUUAUUGGGUUUAAAGGGAGCGUAGAUGGAUGUUUAAGUCAGUUGUGAAAGUUUGCGGCUCAACCGUAAAAUUGCAGUUGAUACUGGAUAUCUUGAGUGCAGUUGAGGCAGGCGGAAUUCGUGGUGUAGCGGUGAAAUGCUUAGAUAUCACGAAGAACUCCGAUUGCGAAGGCAGCCUGCUAAGCUGCACUGACUUGAGGCUCGAAAGUGUGGGUAUCAACA